rnacentral:rRNA from 1 species
CGGACGGGUGAGUAAUGUAUGGGGAUCUGCCUGAUGGCGGGGGAUAACUACUGGAAACGGUAGCUAAUACCGCAUAAUGUCUGCGGACCAAAGCGGGGGACCUCCGGGCCUCGCGCCAUCAGGUGAACCAUAUGGGAUUAGCUAGUAGGUAAGGUAACGGCUUACCUAGGCGACGAUCCCUAGCUGGUCUGAGAGGAUGAUCAGCCACACUGGGACUGAGACACGGCCCAG